AUUGAACGCUGGCGGCAGGCCUAACACAUGCAAGUCGAGCGAGCGGCGGACGGGUGAGUAAUGUCUGGGAAACUGCCUGAUGGAGGGGGAUAACUACUGGAAACGGUAGCUAAUACCGCAUACCAUCAGAUGUGCCCAGAUGGGAUUAGCUAGUAGGUGGGGUAAUGGCUCACCUAGGCGACGAUCCCUAGCUGGUCUGCGAGGAUGACCAGCCACACUGGAACUGAGAAACGGUCCAGACUCCUACGGGAGGCAGCAGUGGGGAAUAUUGCACAAGGGGCUCAGGCCUGAUGCAGCCAGGCCGCGUGUGUGAAGAAGGCUUUGGUGUUGUAAAGCACUUUCAGCGGGGAGGCGUUACCCGCAGAAGAAGCAACGGCUAACUCCGUGCCAGCAGCCGCGGUAAUAC
rnacentral:rRNA from 1 species